CGCCAAACCAACGCGGAAGUACGCUGCUGCCUCACGCUUUAACAUAAACUGGUAAAUUAUUAACGCUCAAAGUUGGUGGUUUCACGAAGAAGGUUUUAAACCUCUGCUUUGUUCUUGGAGUGAUCUGCAUGAGCCAGACUCUCCUCGUUGUCCUCUUCCUCUGCAGGGACCUGGGACAACAGCAAAAUCCGGUGGUAUCACCGACAAAUUAGCAGAUAAGUGCAUAAGGUGCCAUCUGUCAUCUCCACCCACCUGUAAUAGCCCCUCCAACCAGAGCAAACCCAAGGGAUGAAGCCAAGGCGGCGGCUUGCAUGGCGGCGUUCCCGCUAAAAGCCACAGCCACAAUACCAGCCAAGCCUCCCAGGAUGCCCGGCAUGCCGUGCAGAUUGUGGACACCACAGGUACUUGAAGCCCACUGUGGAAACAAUGCCGGCCACAAACCCAAUCAGCAUCGCCCCGAAUGGCCCAAUGUUCAUAUCGGCACACGUGCCCACGGCGACGCCACCAGCAAGUGUGGCGUUCUGAAUGUGCACCUGUAGGAUUAAAAGAUGACAGAACAUUUAUAAAACACACAUUUUAGGCUUUACCGUGUCAGGAAUAGUUGCCCGACCAUGUCUAGUUUUCCUUUGUGCUCCACCAGGCUGGAGACGGCGUAAGCAGAAAGCACGCAGGCGGCCAGGGAGAGGUAGGUGUUGAUGACCGCUGUGAGCUGGGUGAAGCCUGGUUCGGCAAUGGCUGAGUUAAAACUGGGCCAGAACAUCCAGAGGAACACAGUCCCUGUGAAGAAGAUGACUCAGUAAAUUCACAGCAAGUAGCAGAAUUUAUUAUUCGGAGGUCUGUUGGUUUUACAAACACUGGUAUGCUGAUACCCUUGAGCAACUACUCCUCAGCAUCCUUGUUGAGUGUUGAAGCUGCCUACACAUUUGUGUCCACUAGAUGGCAUUGGAAAGUUGGAUUCAAUUGCAUAGUCUCUUACCAAUCAUAGCAAACAUAUCAGAGUGGUAGACAGAUCCGUCAUUCUCGUGGCCGUUUCUCAGACCCGGCCUGUAAAGCAUCCGAGCCACGGCCAAACCAAAAUAGGCCCCGUAGGCGUGGAUGAUCAUUGAGGCCCCAACGUCGUUGGCCUGUUAAAAGAACAGACAAUUGUGUUCUAAACGUUAUCGUCAUUUUUUUCUCUUAACUAGUUGUUUGUAAUUCACAUCAGAAAUUACUUGUAAAAAGUGUUCUUUUAUCUCUAUCAAGCACUAGAACAGAUGAUAGGAUGGGUUGUAUUGUUUUGUUUUUUGCCAGAUUAUGUAAAAAUUACACAACUGAUAUUGAUUAAACUUAAGAUUCAGAUGCAAUUAGAAUUAAAAGCCAUUCACUUCCAUUGACUGCCUUGUUCUUGUCAGAGUGCUGUGUGCUGAUUGCAGAAAAUAAAAACCACAACUUGGUCUAUAUUUCCAAUGGUGUGGAUGUACUUUUUCUAAAUCGAAGGCAUACAAUAAAUGUUUUUCUUGGUGGUUGUGUGCAGAAUAUGUCGAGGUUGACUCACCCCCAUGAUUUCUACCACCAGGUGCUCGUUUAUGGAGAAUAUGCUAAUCUCCAGGAUGGUCAUGAUGAGCAGCUGAACGGGGCUGGUUUUACCCAGUACUGCUCCAAAGGAGAUUAAGACGGUGGCUGUGCUGAAGUCUGCAUUGAUGAUUCUUCAAGGAGAGAUGCCAGAUACCCUGCAUGAGGAGACCCCACUGCAGGCCGAAGGCGGCCAGUAGCAAGUUGAUGCCCACGCUGCUGAAGCCGUAUCUUUUCAGGAAAGUCAUCAAGAAGCCGAAGCCGAUGAAUAUCAUGACGUGUACAUCCUGGAACACUGGGGACAUGACAGAGG